rnacentral:rRNA from 1 species
CUCAGGAUGAACGCUAGCUACAGGCUUAACACAUGCAAGUCGAGGGGCAGCAUGGUCUUAGCUUGCUAAGGCCGAUGGCGACCGGCGCACGGGUGAGUAACGCGUAUCCAACCUGCCUUACACUCUUGGACAGCCUUCUGAAAGGGAGAUUAAUACAAGAUGUUAUCAUGAGUAAGCAUUUUCACAUGAUUAAAGGUUUACCGGUGUAAGAUGGGGAUGCGUUCCAUUAGAUAGUAGGCGGGGUAACGGCCCACCUAGUCUUCGAUGGAUAGGGGUUCUGAGAGGAAGGUCCCCCACAUUGGAACUGAGACACGGUCCAAACUCCUACGGGAGGCAGCAGUGAGGAAUAUUGGUCAAUGGACGAGAGUCUGAACCAGCCAAGUAGCGUGAAGGAUGAAGGUUCUAUGGAUUGUAAACUUCUUUUAUACGGGAAUAAACGAAUCCACGUGUGGAUUUUUGCAUGUACCGUAUGAAUAAGGAUCGGCUAACUCCGUGCCAGCAGCCGCGGUAAUACGGAGGAUCCGAGCGUUAUCCGGAUUUAUUGGGUUUAAAGGGAGCGUAGAUGGGUUGUUAAGUCAGUUGUGAAAGUUUGCGGCUCAACCGUAAAAUUGCAAUUGAUACUGGCAGUCUUGAGUACAGUUGAGGUAGGCGGAAUUCGUGGUGUAGCGGUGAAAUGCUUAGAUAUCACGAAGAACUCCGAUUGCGAAGGCAGCUUACUAACCUGUAACUGACAUUGAUGCUCGAAAGUGUGGGUAUCAAACAGGAUUAGAUACCCUGGUAGUCCACACGGUAAACGAUGAAUACUCGCUGUAGGCGAUAUACAGUCUGCGGCCAAGCGAAAGCAUUAAGUAUUCCACCUGGGGAGUACGCCGGCAACGGUGAAACUCAAAGGAAUUGACGGGGGCCCGCACAAGCGGAGGAACAUGUGGUUUAAUUCGAUGAUACGCGAGGAACCUUACCCGGGCUUAAAUUGCAACCGAAUAUGGCGGAAACGCUAUAGCUAGCAAUAGCGGUUGUGAAGGUGCUGCAUGGUUGUCGUCAGCUCGUGCCGUGAGGUGUCGGCUUAAGUGCCAUAACGAGCGCAACCCUUGCCGAUAGUUACUAACAGGUCAUGCUGAGGACUCUGUCGGGACUGCCAUCGUAAGAUGUGAGGAAGGUGGGGAUGACGUCAAAUCAGCACGGCCCUUACGUCCGGGGCUACACACGUGUUACAAUGGGGGGUACAGAGGGCUGCUACCACGCAAGUGGAUGCCAAUCCCAAAAACCUCUCUCAGUUCGGAUUGAAGUCUGCAACCCGACUUCAUGAAGCUGGAUUCGCUAGUAAUCGCGCAUCAGCCACGGCGCGGUGAAUACGUUCCCGGGCCUUGUACACACCGCCCGUCAAGCCAUGGGAGCCGGGGGUACAAGAAGUGCGUAACCGCAAGGAG